AAGUCGUAACAAGGUUUCCGUAGGUGAACCUGCGGAAGGAUCAUUAAAGAAUUCGGCUUCGCGGCCAAGUUCUCACCCUUUGUAUACCGAAACUAUGUUGCUUUGGCGCCCGUGCCAUUUCUCUGGGCCUGCCAGGAGGCUUAGUUAAACCCUAACGAAAUCUCUGCUGUCUGAGUACUAUGCAAUAGUUAAAA
rnacentral:misc_RNA from 1 species